CCUACGGGCGGCUGCAGUGAGGAAUAUUGCACAAUGGGCGAAAGCCUGAUGCAGCAACGCCGCGUGCGCGAUGAAGGCCUUCGGGUUGUAAAGCUCUGUCCUCAAGGAAGAUUAUGAUGGUAACUGAUGAGGAAGACCCGGCUAACUACGUGCCAGCAGCCGCGGUAAUACGUAGGGGGCUAGCGUUAUCCGGAAUUACUGGGUGUAAAGGGUGGGGUGGUGGUCUCUAGAGGCAGGGGUGAAAGGCUGCGGCACAAACGUAGUAAGCCUUUGAAACUGGGGAGCUUGAGGGCAGGAGGGGAGAGUGGAAUUCCUAGUGUAGCAGUGAAAUGCGUAGAUAUUAGGAGGAACACCAGUUGCGAAGGCAGCUCUCUGGACUGUAACUGACACUGAGGCACGAAAGCGUAGGGAGCAAACGGGAUUAGAUACCCGAGUAGUC
rnacentral:rRNA from 1 species